UUCUACUAUGCUUGCUGUUCCUCUCAUUCUUUCAAUUGUGAUAAGACGACGACCCCACAUUUGCUAUCUCUCCACAAUUUUCAGUUAUAUCCAGAGCCUCUACUUCUCACAUAAAACAUUAACCUCUCAAUCCUUCUUGAUUGGCGCAGAAAGAUGCAAUUUAUUUUCUAUAAAAAGACUACUUUUUUGUUUUUGCUGUAACCAACUGUUGCUCCAUCAUAACUCCGCUACCAACACUAGCACACACCGUCAAAUCAAGUCUAAAUAGCCAAACCCAAAAGUAACAGAAAGCCAACUCCUUCUACGCCUUCUUCGUCAUCACCAUUUUUAUGAACGAUUUUGAUUUUUGGCAAAAGCCACCAUUUUCACCGGCCAACUCUAUUAUUUUUAGCCGCUAAGUAAUUUGGUCCAGCAACAGAGCAUUAAAGGAUUUUAUUAGCGUCAAUCUCUAUCUCCACCUACUGAAUACAAUUUCUUUCUAUUAUUAAUUUCUCUAUCCAUUAAUAGAUCCAUCUUCUUCAUAUAAAGUCAAUCCUUCACACACAAUUAUCUCUUUCACUUUCAACCUUUUUUUCUUUUUUAUAUCUGAAAAGAACCUUUUAAGAAGAAAGGGGAGAAGAAAAAAAAUGAAGAUAUUGGGGGCAGGAAGAAGAGGAUGAGCAGAGGAAUGACAUAAAAAGAGGAAAGAUGGAAAAAGGGACAAAGAGUGUUAGGAUGGGGUGUGGGGGACGGAGAAAAGGGAUAUGAGAAGAAUUUGAUUUGUCAUAUUUUCUUUUUCUUUUUUUUUAGUUACCUGAUUUAUAAUUAUUUCUAUUUCAAUAAUUUUUUAAUCAAAUUUUUUC
rnacentral:lncRNA from 1 species